rnacentral:rRNA from 1 species
CCUACGUGAGGCAGCAGUGAGGAAUAUUGGUCAAUGGGCUUACGCCUGAACCAGCCAAGUCGCGUGAGGGAAGACUGCACUAUGGGUUGUAAACCUCUUUUGUCAGGGAGCAACGCCGGCUACGUGUAGCCGGACUGAGAGUACCUGAAGAAAAAGCAUCGCCUAACUCCGUGCCAGCAGCCGCGGUAAUACGUAGAAGGCGAGCGUUUGCCGGUUUUAGUGGGUUAAAAGGGUGCGUAGGCGGGAUGCCAAGUCAGCGGUAAAAGCGCGGGGCUCAACCUCGCUCCGCCGUUGAAACUGGCGUUCUUGAGUGGGCGAGAAGUAUGCGGAAUGCGUGGUGUAGCGGUGAACUGCAUAGAUAUCACGCAGAACUCCGAUUGCGAAGGCAGCAUACCGGCGCCCAACUGACGCUGAAGCACGAAAGCGUGGGUAUCGAACAGGAUUAGAUACCCGAGUAGUC